rnacentral:rRNA from 1 species
UACGGAGGAUGCGAGCGUUAUCCGGAUUUAUUAGGUUUAAAGGGUGCGUAGGCGGGAUGCCAAGUCAGCGGUAAAAAUGCGGUGCUCAACGCCGUCGAGCCGUUGAAACUGGCGUUCUUGAGUGGGCGAGAAGUAUGCGGAAUGCGUGGUGUAGCGGUGAAAUGCAUAGAUAUCACGCAGAACUCCGAUUGCGAAGGCAGCAUACCGGCGCCCUACUGACGCUGAGGCACGAAAGCGUGGGUAUCGAACAGG